rnacentral:lncRNA from 1 species
UGUUCAGCAAACAACAGUUACAAUAAAGGAAGCUAUAACUAUAUGUAAAACUCAGUUCUGGCAUGUAAAAAGUCAGUUCUGGCUUAUCUACACCAUGUACACGGCGUACGACACAUUCGUGCCAGACAGUUUCGCGAUAAGCAAAUAAUUUUCCCCAUAGAGCUUUUUCCACUGUGACACAUUUCAUGGCCCAAAACGAAAGGUGUGGCACGAAGAAUUUGUAGCAGUACGGUACGCAACAUGCAUUCGCAUGCAAAUAGCCUUGCGGACUGUGUGCGUUUGAUGUGCGAGUGGACGCGAAUUGCUUUACGCAUUGUCUCCCCACACGCACGAAUCGCAAUAUGGAAUCGCAUGCGUAUCGCCUUGCUACACAUGCGCGUAUGCUUCGCGUUUCAACAUACGCACGGAUGAAUUGUUCAAGUCGACCAAAACGACGCAAGAUUAUUUCCAAAUAAACUAUAAAUUUUCAAAAAAAUUGGCCAGAAGGGCCGAUUUCCGCUUUACCAUAGCCAUUGUGCGUUAGCUCUUUGCGUUACAAAAGCAUGCUCAUUCGCACCUAACCCUAAGAUUCGCACCGUUACGCGAACUAACGCGAGCUAACGCGGACUUAACGCGAUCACCCGUCGUCAUAGUGUUCCCCACAGAGGCAAAUUCCAACACCACGCAUUAGGAACUAACGGAUGAACAUCAACAUCUUCAACUGGGGGGAGGUAUGCCAAUGCUGUGACAAUGCGUUGAACAUCUGGCGUGAAAACGAUUAAUCCAAACCAAGGCACUCCCACCUGGGACGUAAAUAGACACAUAGGAUUGUACUUCGGGUAAAGGGUAUGCAGGAAAGAGUGCAUGACCAACACCCAUGGCGGAGGUACUAAGACUGGUUGGACUAUCACCCUCACAAAGCGCACUGCCCAGCACGCCCAUCGCGCUUGUACGUGUUCUCAAACUGCUAAUGCCCCAAAACCGCCCAAAGUUGGGUGGCCAUAUAACAAAUAUUUAGGAAAUGAACAUACACCAUAUUUUUGGGGCAAGCCACCCAGCUAGUAAUUACAUACUCUUUCCACAACAAGCCAUCGGGUAAAUAUUAUAUUUUAUCAUUACAUUUUGCAUGCGUCAAUUACCAGCCCAACAAGCUCGCUCAGACCAGCACUUGACUGACGGGGCAACAGGUGAAAUCAUCGUUGGACAGUGCGAACACGCAGCUGUUGCCGUAGCACACACCCGCCGGUGUACUGCAGGGACUGGUCCUAGCCAGCUCCAAGCAGAUGUACAAGCCGCCGGAGGGGGUCGUGGGAAAGAUGUCAGCCAGGCGGCGGAGCGUCAUGAUGCCGUACGUCUCCCCCUUCCAUGUUUUAGAGCUGAGCAGCGGGACCACUGAAACGCCGUUGAUGGUGACGGUGCGGACGGGGUUCGGUUCC